rnacentral:tRNA from 1 species
GACUCCGUAGCUCAGCUGGUAGAGCAAUUGACUCUUAAUCAAUGGGUNNGAGCCUCUCCGGGGUCA